UUAAUAAACAGCCCAGUUAAUAAAGUCCAGGGCCCAGUUAAUAAACAGCCCAGUUAAUAAAGUCCAGGGCCCAGUUAAUAAACAGCCCAGUUAAUAAAGUCUAGGGCCCAGUUAAUAAACAGCCCAGUUAAUAAAGUACAGGGCCCAGUUAAUAAACAGCCCAGUUAAUAAACAGCCCAGUUAAUAAAGUCUAGGGCCCAGUUAAUAAACAGCCCAGUUAAUAAAGUCCAGGGCCCAGUUAAUAAACAGCCCAGUUAAUAAAGUCCAGGGCCCAGUUAAUAAACAGCCCAGUUAAUAAAGUCCAGGGCCCAGUUAAUAAACAGCCCAGUUAAUAAAGUCCAGGGCCCAGUUAAUAAACAGCCCAGUUAAUAAAGUCUAGGGCCCAGUUAAUAAACAGCCCAGUUAAUAAAGUCUAGGGCCCAGUUAAUAAACAGCCCAGUUAAUAAAGUCCAAGGCCCAGUUAAUAAAGUCUAGGGCCCAGUUAAUAAACAGCCCAGUUAAUAAAGUCCAGGGCCCAGUUAAUAAACAGCCCAGUUAAUUAACCCUCCAGGGCCCAGUUAAUAAACAGCCCAGUUAAUUAACCCUCCAGGGCCCAGUUAAUAAACAGCCCAGUUAAUAAAGUCCAGGGCCCAGUUAAUAAUCCCUCCAGGGCCCAGUUAAUAAUCCCUCCAGUGCCCAGUUAAUUAACCCUCCAGGGCCCAGUUAAUAAACAGCCCAGUUAAUAAACCCUCCAGGGCCCAGUUAACAAACAGCCCAGUUAAUAAAGUCCAGGGCCCAGUUAGUAAACCCUCCAGGGCCCAGUUAAUAAACCCUCCAGGGCCCAGUUAAUAAACCCUCCAGGGCCCAGUUAACAAACAGCCCAGUUAAUAAAGUCCAGGGCCCAGUUAGUAAACGGCCCAGUUAAUAAACCCUCCAGGGCCCAGUUAAUAAACCCUCCAGGGCCAAGAGGACUGAACUUCCACACCUGCUAGAUAGCAUAUGCUUAAGCUAAGACCGCUACCACCCCACAGACUGGGCAUUACAUUCUGUUAGCCUACCACUAUGCUAGGACCGCUACCACCCCACAGACUGGGCAUUACAUUCUGUUAGCCUACCACUAUGCUAGGACCGCUACCACCCCACAGACUGGGCAUUAGAUUCUGUUAGCCUACCACUAUGCUAGGACCGCUACCACCCCACAGACUGGGCAUUACAUUCUGUUAGCCUACCACUAUGCUAGGACCGCUACCACCCCACAGACUGGGCAUUACAUUCUGUUAGCCUACCACUAUGCUAGGACCGCUACCACCCCACAGACUGGGCAUUACAUUCUGUUAGCCUACCACUAUGCUAGGACCGCUACCACCCCACAGACUGGGCAUUACAUUCUGUUAGCCUACCACUAUGCUAGGACCGCUACCACCCCACAGACUGGGCAUUAGAUUCUGUUAGCCUACCACUAUGCUAGGACCGCUACCACCCCACAGACUGGGUAUUACAUUCUGUUAGCCUACCACUAUGCUAGGACCGCUACCACCCCACAGACUGGGCAUUACAUCCUGUUAGCCUACCGCUAUGCUAGGACCGCUACCACCCUAUAGACUGGGUAUUACAGCCUGUUAGCAUACCGGUACGCUAGGACUGCUACCACCCUAUAGACUGGGUAUUACAGCCUGUUAGCAUACCGGUACGCUAGGACUGCUACCACCCCAUAGACUGGGUAUUGCAUCCUGUUAGCAUACCGCUACGGUAGGACCGCUAGGGCUCCUUGGAGGGAGCAUUACUACUGUGUGUUAGCAUACCGCCAGGACCCCCAGGACAGAACACUACAGCAGGCCUACAGUACUGUUGAGGGAGGGAGUAAUCUGUAUGUUAGCAUACCGCUAGGACCCCCAGGGAGGGAGAAAUCUGUAUGUUAGCAUACCGCUAGGACAGAACACUACAGCAGGCCUACAGUACUGUUGAGGGAGGGAGUAAUCUGUAUGUUAGUAUACCGCUAGGACCCCCAGGACAGAACACUACAGCAGGCCUACAGUACUGUUGAGGGAGUAAUCUGUAUGUUAGCAUACCGCUAGGACCCCCAGGUAGGGAGUAAUCUGUAUGUUAGCAUACCGCUAGGACCCCCAGGGAGGGAGUAAUCUGUAUGUUAGCAUACCGCUAGGACCCCCAGGGAGGGAGUAAUCUGUAUGUUAGCAUACCGCUAGGACCCCCAGGGAGGGAGUAAUCUGUAUGUUAGCAUACCGCUAGGACCCCCAGGGAGGGAGUAAUCUGUAUGUUAGCAUACCGCUAGGACCCCCAGGGAGGGAGUAAUCUGUAUGUUAGCAUACCGCUAGGACCCCCAGGACAGAACACUACAACAGACCUACAGUACUGUUGAGGGAGGGAGUAAUCUGUAUGUUAGCAUACCGCUAGGACCCCCAGGGAGGGAGUAAUCUGUAUGUUAGCAUACCGCUAGGACCCCCAGGGAGGGAGUAAUCUGUAUGUUAGCAUACCGCUAGGACCCCCAGGGAGGGAGUAAUCUGUAUGUUAGCAUACCGCUAGGACCCCCAGGGAGGGAGUAAUCUGUAUGUUAGCAUACCGCUAUGAACCCCAGGGAGGGAGCAAUCUGUAUGUUAGCA